GCGGCAGUGGCGGAACUGGCAGACGCGCACGUUUGAGGGGCGUGUCCUUCGCGGGGUAUGGGUUCAAGUCCCAUCUGCCGCACCA
rnacentral:tRNA from 1 species